CACCAGGAGGAAAAUGAAUCAGAUGCUGAACACUUGAGCUUGAAGACGCUGGCAACGGCUGUCAGGGUGCUCACGUCACCACCGGCCAACCUGCUAUGGAUUAGUCUAAAAAAGAUUCUUCUUAGUAAAGAUCCUUCACUUUGGACGGCACUCAAGCACAAUAUCAAACUAAAAAAGGAACCGCCAGAAGAAAUUUCCUCUUUACAAGAGCUAGUAUCCCAAGACGAUAAUGAAAUUCUUGAAGAAGUUUUC